rnacentral:rRNA from 1 species
CCUACGGGAGGCAGCAGUGAGGAAUAUUGGUCAAUGGCCGGAAGGCUGAACCAGCUAUGCCGCGUGAAGGUCAGUGCCCUAUGGGCGUUAAACUUCUUUUGUGCGGGAGCAAUAAUGGUCACGUGUGGCCAGACGAGAGUACCGUACGCAUAAGCAUCAGCUAACUCCGUGCCAGCAGCCGCGGUAAUACGGGGGAUGCAAGCGUUAUCCGUAUUUAUGGGGUUUAAAGGGUGCGUAGGCGGCAGCACAAGUCUGGAGUGAAAUGCCGGGGCUUAACCCCGGAACUGCUGUGGAAACUGUGCAGCUAGAGGGCAGGAGAGGUAAGUGGAAUUCCUAGUGUAGCGGUGAAAUGCGUAGAUAUUAGGAGGAACACCAGUGGCGAAGGCGGCUUACUGGACUGUAACUGACGUUGAGGCUCGAAAGCGUGGGGAGCAAACAGGAUUAGAUACCCCGGUAGUC